ACAGACUCUGAAUGGAUUCUCAUAAUUAUUCCAACUCGCUGAGCCAGGAAAUGAUGCCAAGUUGAUUGGCAUUACCAUGCCAGAUAAAAUCUAUUGUCACAGUGCAACAAAAGUUACUAUACUUUUUCUAUUCCAACCACCAAUUUAUUCUUGCUAAAAGAUGUAACCCUGGCUUCAGCAGCUAUAAAAUUCAACUCAACAAAAUGAAGAUAGGCCUAGCACUCUAAUACAGGAAUAAUGGCAACUGCAUUCACUUCGUGACAACAGAAUGAUACAUUAAGGGAGAUGAGAGCAAAAAAGUUAAACAGAAGAAAUCAGGGAUAUUAGUGCCAAAUGGUAAGUUAUUCAGCUUCCUAGAGUUACGAUCUUUCACCAUGCCAGAACUUUUACAGAGAACACUCACAUUUCCCAAAGGCACUGGGGAAGGUGAGGAACACGCUGUGGGAGUCACCAACCAUAUGUGAUGAUGGUUAUACCUUUGUCUAUGGGGCCUUAUUCUGGGAUAUCAGUGUCAUCAGUUUGUCUUUCUCCUUCCUGAUGCUUUAUUCUUAUCAUAAUUCUUUUUAAAGUUUGCAGUUUGCCUGGAUUUAGAUAAAGGUCUUCAUCUUUUAACUGUGAAUUUAUUUCUUGUAUGUAGCUCCUAACAUAUUUCAGUAUCCUCUUUGCCAUCCCUUGCCAUCUUGUUUACUGUUUCUCAUGUAAAAGGCAUUGUUUAGAUUAAGAGUUAACAGCUCAGGCUGGGCACAGUGGCUCAUGCCUGUAAUCCCAGCACUUUGGGAGGCUGACCUGG
rnacentral:lncRNA from 1 species